ACUCCUACGGGAGGCAGCAGUGAGGAAUUUCCACAAUGGGCGAAAGCCUGAUGGAGCAAUCUCGCGUGGAGGAUGACACCUUUCGGGGCGUAAACUCCUUUUCUGAGGGAAGAAGUUCUGACGGUACCUCAGGAAUACAGGGCGGCUAAUUCCGUGCCAGCAGCCGCGGUAAUACGGAAGCCCUAAGCGUUAUCCGGAAUCACUGAGCGUAAAGCGAUCGAAGGUGGACCAGUUAGUCUGACAUCAAAUCCCUGCGGCUCAACCGUGGGUUCGUGUCGGAAACUGCUGGACUAGAGGAAUGCAGAGGAGACUGGAAUUUCUGUUGUAGGGGUAAAAUCCGUAGAUAACAGAAGGAACACCAAAAGCGAAGGCAGGUUUCUGGGCAUAUCCUGACGCUGUGCGAUCGAAAGCGUGGGGAGCGAAAGGGAUUAGAUACCCCUGUAGUCCACGCCGUAAACGAUGGAUACCCGGUGUAGGUAAGUCCACUCCUUAUCUGUGCCUAAGCUAACGCGAUAAGUAUCCCGCCUGGGGAGUACGGUCGCAAGACUAAUACUCAAAGGAAUAGACGGGGAUCCACACAAGCGGUGGAGCUAUCUCGUUUAAUUCGAUAAUAAGCGGAGAACCUUACCAGGACUUGACAUCCCGAGAAUUUUCUAGAAAUAGAAAAGUGCCUUUUUAAGGG
rnacentral:rRNA from 1 species